UCUGUGACCAUAGAUUUGUUUCGAUCUGGCGUCUGAAGCUCAGCAAAACCCCUGCGAAUCCCACCUGCAAGUCCCUCCGUCCUUCAGCUCCUCUGCUGGGGGCAAUGAAAGGUUUUGGAUUUGGAGAUUUGGAGCUAAGGGGAGCACUGAAGCCAAUUUUCCUUUGGGAAAGAUGGUGUGUGUGUGUGUGUGUGUGUGUGUGUGUGUGUGUGUGUGUGUGUAUGUGUGUGUGUGUGAGAGAGAGAGCGGGGGAGGGGGGAGACUAACAUCCUAGAUGGACUGACAGCCACGUGGCAGAUGGGGGCUCUGAGAAGGAUCUAGGCCCAACCAUAAACAUGCAAACAGCAUGGUGGGGCCUCUGAAGAGAGUUCAGGCCCACAGGGCAGUCCUGGACUUCUUAUACAUCUCAGAGAACGGUGGAGGUUUCAUGUAGCCAGGCUGUCUUGAAUCCUGGGCAUCUGGGGGAGGAAGGAGAAUUCCAGGAGUAGGAAUGUGUGUCCCCGAGGAGGUGGGGGAAGUGAGGAAGAGGAGUACCUCCUAUGGAGGUGCACCUGGCCUAUGGGUAGCAGGGGAGACGCCCUGGCCUAUGGGUAGCAGGGGAGACACCCUGGCCUAUGGGUAGCAGGGGAGACGCCCUGGUCUAUGGGUAGCAGGGGAGACGCCACCACCAGUUGCCUUCUUGCGACCCAGGGGAUCUGGCAGCCUGAGGUUCCUGUGAAAUCUGUGCCGGUGGAGUCCACUUACAGACUCAUGGACAGUAGGGUGUUUCUCCUGUAGCUCUAGUGGCAGGGAUCCCAGAACCGGCUGUGAGAAAGGCAGUAAAGAGGUUGUGGCUGGGCAUUGGCUUGAGUGGUGUCUUGUUUGGGGUCCUGACAGGUACUAACAUUUCCUCUCCCAUCACCAGCACUGGAAGGCACAGAGCCUUCCCUCUUUGACCUCAUUUCUUGAAAUUUGUUUUUUUUUUGGGGGGGUGGCAGUGCUGAGGAUCAAAUCAAGGCCUUGCACUAGCUAGCCAAGCGCUCUGCCAUGAAGAAGCCACAUAUCAGCUUUUCCCUGGAUAUUCAACUCCAAGGGACUGUGGGCUACGACCCUCCUUCCCCAUGCCAUCCCACCCUGGGUUGGCUCAGAGUUUGGCAUACCAGAGGUCUGUACGCAUUUGCCUAACGACUAAAUGUUCCCUUUUGUUAUCUAUGCGCCCUCAUGCGUCAGUCAGACUCCUGUCCACCAGAGAGUGGGUGGUGUGUCUGCAGAGGCUGUUCAGAGUGUUUCGGAGCUGAGCUGUCUGGGGUUGGAUCUAGCUGGGUGACUUGGAGCGUGUUAUUUAACCUCUCUAAACUCAAGGUUUUGGUUUGCAUGGGGAAAGAGCAAUCUCUACCUGGAUGGUGACAGUGACAGGGAAGAAAGUUUAGCUGGGCUUGUAAGGGUCUGUGAAGAUCUCACAUCGGGGCAACAGCACAUGGGUCAGCAUCUGGAGGCCAAGGUCCUGCCGUGAACUGAUUCUGUGGGGCAGUGGCCCCUAGGGUCCCCCUUGCUGUUGUUGCUCCCCUAACGGUGAAUGGCCGCCCUCAGGGCUUCUUGGUGGAUUGAAGCAAAGGAAGAGGUAUUUCUGGAAGCAAGUGUCCUGGGAAUUGCUGGAGAAGGCUGUUGGGAAGUCACAGGCAAUGUGGCACCCCUGUCGCCCUGAAGGAAGGGAGCGUUCUCCAGAGGUGUGAUUCCAGUCUCCCCUUCUAAGCUAGGCCAGAGGGGAACACUGUCACCAUCACCGCCUCUGAAGACCUUCUCUGGAAGCAGUGACCUUUGUUGCCUUUGGCAGAUUUCUCUAGGACAUGUUCAAGAAGGGAUAUGACAUGAAUUUGGCAAUUUUGUUCUGAAAGCCCCGUGCCUUCCGUGUGGGCAUUUCUGGUCAGAGCCUUGUUUUUCCUUUUCAUUCAUAAUAACUGGACUUCCAGGGGGUUAUUUCUUCUUACAGAUUAAGGAAAUUUUCAGAGCCAAAUUUCAGGUCUUUCCUGAUUAAAACAAAACACACAAUGAAGAGAUCAUGGGCUUGGAUUUGGAAAGAAGCCAGGGACACAGCACAGAAAAAGACAGCUAUUAUUCUACUUCCUAACAAAGCCAGUUGUUUGGGGGAAAUUUCUUAUAGUGAAGAAAAAUUGUACCACCUCACAGCCCUUCUUCCCAUGAGCAGUGGUCUCACUUUUACUGAAGGCAAGAACAAUUAAUGUGAGAGGCCUAGGCUAUUGUGUAAAGCGAAUUUGGAACUUCAGUUAACCAUGCAUUCCUAAGGUAUCCUGCCCCAGGUCUCCUGAGGAAGCCUUGGGAGACAAAGAUCCCAGGCUUUCUGGCCCUCGGGGCCCAGGGGAAGCUGCCUUUCAACUCCAACUCACUGAUAAGGUGGAGUCAUUGUGUCCAGCUCACCAGGAGCUGUGAGGAUGAAUGAGCAAGGAUAAAGACAGCAGCUCAGUCUCCAGAGCUUCCCCCAGGCAGCCCCAGCAGCUCCUAAUAUUCACCAGCGCCUCUGAGCUGGUGGUGCUAUCUGGGAAGGUUCUGGAACCUUUAGAAGGUGGAGAUUUAACUGGAAGAAGAGGGUCUCUAGGGGCAGGUUUUGAAGGUUAUGUAAGUCCCCUCUUCUCCCCGUCCUCUUUCCUGCUGUAAUAGCGAUAUGAAAGUCUCAGCUGUGGGCUCUUGCCACCUCAGCUGAGCUGUGCUACCAUGAUGGAUAGAAACCAUGGACCAAUCCUUGCUCCUUGAGUUGAUUCUGUCAGAUUUUCAGUCACCACAAGGCCAAGUAAUGGAGUUGAGGCUCACAGUGAAGUGACGAACCCUGGCCAGAUAAGAGCAGUGUGACUUCAGGUCUUGUGUUUCCAACAUCUUAUGCCACAGUCGCUGCCCAGGAAAAGCAUAUAAAACAGCUAAGUGAGGUGGGGCUUUCACCGGAUCUGUCCAAGGCGGGAGGAACUUGUCUUUCUAUAUGAAACCAAAGCCACAGCAGCUCAAUGCUAGCCGUGAACUGUCCUAUUAACAUAGUCACUGACAAACUCUUAAUAGAAAAAUCUACAUCUUUUACAAGAUGUGAUGCUGGCACAGCUGGGCUGAAGUAAAUUUAUGAUAAAACUUUCCUUUCCUAUGAUUAAACAACAUUCAAGGUCUGAAGAGAGGCUUAAGAGCCCUUGUUGCUCUUGCAGGGGGCUGGAAUUUCAUUCCUGGAAUGCACAUGGGCAGCUCACAGCCAUCUAUAAAGAGGGGACCCAGAGUGUUAUUCUUCUGCUGCCACUUUAAGAACUAACCACGCCCACCCCAGCCACUUUUGGACCUCCCCCGCAGCCAUC